rnacentral:lncRNA from 1 species
AUCAAGACAUGAAGAAAACACAAUUGUCAAAGCAACUAAAUAUCAUUUACAAACACACAAACACCAAACGGAGAAGAAAAAUCAAGUAUCCAAAUUAACGCCAACUGCUCUAGCUCAUAGGAUUGAUAUUCACCGUCGCUAUCUUGGAGGUUAAGUCUGAAUUCUUCAUUUUUGUUGCAAUGCUUUUGGUUGUCACCAUCUUUAACUCCUUGAAAUAUUGAAAUGAAUCAAUCUCUUCCGGGAGGGUAUCCAGAUAUGGGCAAUCAUGGAUUUCUAAUUUCUUGAGAGAACACAUUGAAUGUUUUCCAAAUUGUACACUUCUCAGAUUCCACAACUCUUCGAUGCACAGGACUUCGAGAAGAUAGAAGACGUUGGGCAAGAUCACCAUUUGUUGACCAGUGUAUGCAUUCUGCAAUUUGAGGUAUUCUAGACCCCAUAACUUCCCAAGUAGUGGCAUGGGGUCUUCAUCAAGACAGCUAUUAACCAACGUCAAUGAUUCAAGAAAUAGAGGGAGAUCACUUGGUAACCUGGCUAGGAGUCCAUCCAAUUUGAGUGUUUUGAGUCUAUUUAGAAUAGCAAUCUCAUCCAAGCAAGGCAUGCUUCUGAAACGAUACCCUCUUAAGAUUAGGUGUUUAAGACGCUCCAUCGCAACCAAUGUCACGAAGAGCUUGCUUACAUCUGAGUUUCCAUCCAAUCCUUCUAUUCCAAAUUUCUUAAGAUAAGUCGACAUUUUUAAGCUAGAGAGCUCAUAUGUCCAAUUAUCAACUGGGACAUAGGUUAAGGUCUCCAGAUUCCUUAGUGCGUCUAUCUUAAAAGGCUUCCGGCAAAUCACAUUAGACAAAUAGAGGCGGCGAAGGCUAUCCAUUUCCCAUAUAACAACUGGCACCUCCACCAUAAGGUUUUGAGCUAUGUCAAGAACCUCAAGCUUUUUCAAGCACCCCAACGACUCUGGGAGCUCUUUUAUGUAAUUGUUUCUCAAUCCCAAGUAUCUUAGUUCCAUCAAUGUGCCGAUAGUUUCCGAUAAAAACUUCAACCCAAAAUCUUCCAGGUCAAGUAUCUUAAGUUGUUCAAAGCUCUUCCAAUAAAAAGGACUAGUGUCCAAGUAGCCACCUCCAUGGAAGAAGAGAGAAACAAGAAGCUUAUCUUGAUCCGUGGAGUAGUUGAACUUGUCUCUGCUACAAAUGAUAACGCGAUGAUGACGAGGACUCUCAGAGGGUCGAUUAUUUCCAUUGUUCCUUAGGAUCUCUAAACUGAAUUCCUCCUCUGCUUUUUGGAUGGAUAGCAUGUGUAGCACAACAUUCAUGCAAUACUCCGUGCUCUUGUCCUUGACAUCAAUAACAGAUUCAUUGAUCAAACCCUUUAAAUAUGAUUCACAUUCUUCAUAUUGUUGUGCUGCUCCUACUACAAUCCAAAUCUGUUUCAGCUUUUCUGCCCUCAAAGUUGUAUUUUCCUUAAAAAAGGCCAUAGACAAGAAACAUGGCCUCAGUUCAGGAUCCAAUUUAUGAUAAAAUGGUUCCAACAACUUCAAUGUUGAACCAAAAUCAACUGAUUCAAGAAGUUGUUCCCAUUCGCUCUCCCCUGAGACUUUCUUUUCUGCUAACUGUUUUCCCACCUCUUUUAUAGCUAACGGCAGACCGCCACAUUUUCUCAACAUUUGUUUUCCCACAUACUCCAAGGACAUUGGAAAUUUGUGCUCACCCAUUAAUUUAUUGCCAUGGUUUAUUGUUUUCAGAAACAAUUGCCAGCUCUUCUUAGAAUCCAAAGGUUUCAUCUUAUAAACCUCUUCAUCACGUACUUAUAUGUCGUCAUGUGUUGUGUGACUUGUGAGCAGCAAUCUACUUCCUUUUCAUAAGAAGAAUACAAAAAGGAAGAGUCAGAGGGUUAUUGAGUAAAGAAAAUUUAUAUUGUUAGAUUACAUGAUUCAGUCAUGUUGAUA